rfam:Dictyocaulus viviparus strain HannoverDv2000 D_viviparus-1.0_Cont149.5, whole genome shotgun sequence.
GCUUUGGUGGUGUAAUGGAAAGCGUGGCAGACCGGAUAUCUGUAGGUGCGGGUACGAGUCACGCCUGAGGUU